UACGUAGGUGGCAAGCGUUGUCCGGAUUUACUGGGCGUAAAGCGUGCGCAGGCGGACUUUUAAGUAGGAAGUGAAAGGUUGGAGCUCAACUCCAACACUGCUCCCUAUACUGGAAGUCUUGAGUCCCGGAGAGGAAGAUGGAAUUCCCGGUGUAGCGGUGAAAUGUGUAGAGAUCGGGAGGUACACCGGUGGCGAAGGCGGUCUUCUGGACGGUGACUGACGCUGAGGCGCGAAAGCGUGGGGAGCAAACGGG
rnacentral:rRNA from 1 species